AUAGGGCCCUCAUGACAAUCCCUACUACCACCAUAACUCAAACCAAUGAACUGGUAUACGCUACAGCCUCUGUAAUCCUGGAGAUGCUUGGCUACAAGCAGUGCCAAGUGACAGCAACAUCA